AGAGUUUGAUCCUGGCUCAGAUUGAACGCUGGCGGCAUGCUUUACACAUGCAAGUCGAACGGCAGCGCGGGGCAACCUGGCGGCGAGUGGCGAACGGGUGAGUAAUAUAUCGGAACGUACCCAGAAGUGGGGGAUAACGUAGCGAAAGUUACGCUAACACCGCAUACGAUCUACGGAUGAAAGUGGGGGACCUUCGGGCCUCAUGCUUUUGGAGCGGCCGAUAUCUGAUUAGCUAGUAGGUAGGGUAAAGGCCUACCUAGGCGACGAUCAGUAGCUGGUCUGAGAGGACGACCAGCCACACUGGGACUGAGACACGGCCCAGACUCCUACGGGAGGCAGCAGUGGGGAAUUUUGGACAAUGGGCGCAAGCCUGAUCCAGCAAUGCCGCGUGAGUGAAGAAGGCCUUCGGGUUGUAAAGCUCUUUUGUCAGGGAAGAAACGGCCCGAGCUAAUAUCUUGGGCUAAUGACGGUACCUGAAGAAUAAGCACCGGCUAACUACGUGCCAGCAGCCGCGGUAAUACGUAGGGUGCAAGCGUUAAUCGGAAUUACUGGGCGUAAAGCGUGCGCAGGCGGUUUUGUAAGUCUGACGUGAAAGCCCCGGGCUCAACCUGGGAAUUGCCUUGGAGACUGCAAGGCUUGAAUCUGGCAGAGGGGGGUAGAAUUCCACGUGUAGCAGUGAAAUGCGUAGAGAUGUGGAGGAACACCGAUGGCGAAGGCAGCCCCCU
rnacentral:rRNA from 1 species